UGCAAUUACAGAUAAAAACAUUAUUGUGCAUGCAAUGGGUGGGGAAAUAGAAUACCUGACCUUUUGUGGCUUCUGAGGAUUUUCUUGAUUUUUCAGUGUCAUGGAAUCCUUGAUAGUGAAGGCAUCUGAUUUGAGCUGGCAUUUCAAUUAGUAACUGACCUGGUUCACUGACAAGCUUCACCUCCAUAGAGAAAAGGCAGCAGAACACACCCGCCAACUCAGCACCCAGACUGUGCUGCAAAGGAAGGUGCAGUGCUGUCCCUCAGAGCCACCGACUCUGGACCUCGAGAAGCUUAGGCAGGAAAACCUUACAGAUUAUUCAGAGGGAGGCAAAGCCUCUAAAACAGGAAAGAAUAUUAUACUUUGAGAAGUAUAUGUUUUUAAUUCAGGCUGCUACACCAAAGUCACAGACUCGGUAGUUUAUGAACAACAGAUAUCUGCCUCUCCCAGGGGUGUAGGGUAGAGUGGAAGUCUGAGAUCAGGGUGCCAGCAAGGUAGGAUUCUAGUGAGAGUUCUCUUCAGAAUUGCAGAAUUCCAUCCUCUGGGUGUAUCCUUACAUGGCAGAGAGAGGAAGCGCGCUCUCUGCCGACUUCUAUAAGGACACUAAGCCCAUCUAGAGGGCUCCACUCUCAUAACCUUGUCUAACACUGAUCACCUCCCAGAGGCCCUCUUCUAAGACCAUCACAUCAGGAUGUAAGGUUUCAACAUACAGAUCUGGAUGGGAACUAAACAUUCACUUUCUUAACAGUGUAUAAGAAAAAAAUUAGGAAUUGUUUAGUGUUGGAGGAUAUAUAUAAAUUAUGGUUUGUUCAAACCAUUAAGUUGGGACCAUGCUGGCCUCUGUCGUAGCCCACAGCCUUAGGAUCAAACAGCCUUCUGGAAAUAGAUGCCAAAUAACCUGUUUACUUCAGGAUCCCUGCCACACCUAUAAGCAAGCAUGGAGACAUCAGACACCCUGAUCUCAGACAAGACCUCUCUAACACUGAAACCUUAUACCUAC
rnacentral:lncRNA from 1 species